rnacentral:rRNA from 1 species
GACGAACGCUGGCGGCGUGCCUAAUACAUGCAAGUAGAACGCUGAAGGAGGAGCUUGCUUCUCUGGAUGAGUUGCGAACGGGUGAGUAACGCGUAGGUAACCUGCCUGGUAGCGGGGGAUAACUAUUGGAAACGAUAGCUAAUACCGCAUAAUAUUGACUAUUGCAUGAUAGUCAGUUGAAAGGUGCAACUGCACCACUACCAGAUGGACCUGCGUUGUAUUAGCUAGUUGGUGGGGUAACGGCUCACCAAGGCGACGAUACAUAGCCGACCUGAGAGGGGGCUCGGCCACACUGGGACUGAGACACGGCCCAGACUCCUACGGGAGGCAGCAGUAGGGAAUCUACGGCAAUGGACGGAAGUCUGACCGAGCAACGCCGCGUGAGUGAAGAAGGUUUUCGGAUCGUAAAGCUCUGUUGUAAGAGAAGAACGAGUGUGAGAGUGCAAAGCUCACACUGUGACGGUAUCUUACCAGAAAGGGACGGCUAACUACGUG